rnacentral:rRNA from 1 species
CACGUGGGGGGGCGAGCGUUUGUCCGGAUUUAUUGGGCGUAAAGAGCUCGUAGGCGGUUCGAUAAGUCGGGUGUGAAAACUCUGGGCUCAACUCAGAGACGCCACCCGAUACUGUUGUGACUUGAGUCCGGUAGGGGAGUAUGGAAUUCCCGGUGUAGUGGUGGAAUGCGUAGAUAUCGGGAGGAACACCAGUGGCGAAGGCGACUACCUGCCUGUUCUUGACGCUGAGGCGCGAAAGCUAGGGGAGCAAACGGGG